AGAAUUUAUCUUCAGCAUAAACUUCAUUAUUCUACAGUGUUUCUUCAUUUGCCUGAGAGGUUGUCAGAAAUCAGCAGGCUGAGAGGGAGUUUUCAACAAAGGCAGUAAAGAUAAAACAAAAAGGCUCCAGGUUACGUACAGCUGGGACUGCUGCUACCUGAUUGCAAGAAUUAUAUAAGACCAAGAUAAUGAAGGCUAGAUUUAAAAAACAUAAAGGUAAGUAAUCUGAAUUUGAACCCAGAUCUGUAUGACUCAGAAGUCCAUGCUUUUAAAUCAAUCCU
rnacentral:lncRNA from 1 species